rnacentral:tRNA from 2 species
GCCGAUGUAGCUCAGUGGUAGAGCGCUUGCUUCCCAAGCAAGAUAUGCGAGUUCGAUUCUCGUCAUCGGCU